GACGAACGCUGGCGGCGUGCCUAAUACAUGCAAGUCGAACGCAGUGGGGGCGGGUGCGUAACACGUGGGUAACCUCCCAUCAGAGGGGAUAACCCUUGGAAACAGGUGCUAAUCCGAAACUGAUGGAUGGACCCGCGGUGCAUUAGCUAGUUGGGGAGGUAACGGCUAACCAAGGCCACGAUGCAUAGCCGACCUGAGAGGGUGAGCGGCCACAAGGGGACUGAGAAACGGCCCAGACUCCUACGGGAGGCAGCAGUAGGGAAGCGUCGGCAAUGGACGAAAGUCUGACCGAGCAACGCCGCGUGAGUGAAGAAGGUGUUCGGAUCGUAAAACUCUGUUGUUAGAGAAGCGGUAUCUAACCAGAAAGCCACGGCUAACUACGUGCCAGCAGCCGCGGUAAUAC
rnacentral:rRNA from 1 species